rnacentral:rRNA from 1 species
AACGAACGCUGGCGGCAUGCCUAACACAUGCAAGUCGAACGCGACCUUCGGGUCUAGUGGCGCACGGGUGCGUAACGCGUGGGAACCUGCCCUUAGGUUCGGAAUAACUUCCCGAAAGGGGUGCUAAUACAGGAUAAUGUCUUCGGACCAAAGAUUUAUCGCCUUUGGAUGGGCCCGCGUUGGAUUAGCUAGUUGGUAGGGUAAAAGCCUAUCAAGGCGACGAUCCAUAGCUGGUCUGAGAGGAUGAUCAGCCACACUGGGGCUGAGACACGGCCCAGACUCCUACGGGAGGCAGCAGUGGGGAAUAUUGGACAAUGGGCGAAAGCCUGAUCCAGCAAUGCCGCGUGAGUGAUGAAGGCCGUAGGGUUGUAAAGCUCUUUUACCCGGGAUGAUAAUGACAGUACCGGGAGAAUAAGCUCCGGCUAACUCCGUG